CAGCAGGGCUGGAGAGGAUUUGUGAACAGGGCCUGGGGGUGGAGGGGAGUUUGGGAUCUGUCAGAGGCAGCAGGGCCGAAGAAGGUUUGUGAACAGGGCCCUGGGGUGGAGGGGAGCUGGGGAUCUGUCAGGAAGGAGGGCUCAUCCCUGCCUUCACCAAGCCCACCCACCAGCAGGCAGCCUUUCUAGGAGCUGGUUCUUUCUAAGGAUACCAGGCUCCUUCCUGGAAGGCUUUGAUUGUCCUGCAACAAGUGCAUUGAUGAUAAAAUGGAAUGCAGUGCUCAGCCCUCCUGGCCUCCUGCCUGAUUCACUUCCGAGUGCACCACAUGGGUAGAAGAGCUGCCCCCGCCACAUACAGACCUCACCCACAGUGUGAUGGGUAGAACCAGGACCAGACCUACCGGGAGCCCUCCUCCCACACACCGUGGCUUCUGUGAAAGGACUAAAUUUAGGACCUGAAACCAGCUGAAAUGGGGACAGCAGAGCCUGCUGCGCCGCAGCUGCCCAUCCAGAUGGAAUCUCACUCUGACACCCAGGCUGGAGUGCAGUGGUAUGAUCUCAGCUCACUGUAACCUCCGCCUCCCAGGUUCAAGUAAUUCUCCUGCUUCAGCCUCCCAAGUAGCUGGAAUUACAG